AAAGUCGUAACAAGGUAACCGUAGGUGAACCUGCGGUUGGAUCAUUAACAAAUUCAAUCAAUGGCCGGCUUGGCAACAAGUCGCGCUUGAUUACCCCUGUGAACCGUUAUUGUCUCUGGUGGGCAGCAAUGCCCGCCGAUUUACACUCUUGCAUUGUAUUUGUCUCAGCUUAUUAUUCAAUAAUAAACAACUUUUGGCAACGGAUCUCUAGGCUCUC
rnacentral:misc_RNA from 1 species